AGGCAGCAGUGGGGAAUAUUGCGCAAUGGGCGAAAGCCUGACGCAGCGACGCCGCGUGGGGGAGGAAGGCCUCAGGGUCGUAAACCCCUGUCAGGUGGGACGAACCACGGAUCGGUCAAUACCCGGUCCGCCUGACGGUACCACCAGAGGAAGCUCCGGCUAACUCCGUGCCAGCAGCCGCGGUAAUACGGAGGGAGCUAGCGUUGUUCGGAAUCACUGGGCGUAAAGGGCGCGUAGGCGGUCGGGUAAGUCGAGUGUGAAAUUCCGGGGCUCAACCCCGCGAACUGCAUUCGAUACUGCUCGACUAGAGAAAGGUAGGGGCGAGUGGAAUUCCCGGUGUAGCGGUGGAAUGCGUAGAUAUCGGGAAGAACACCGGUGGCGAAGGCGGCUCGCUGGGCCUUUUCUGACGCUGAAGCGCGAAAGCGUGGGGAGCAAACAGGAUUAGAUACCCUGGUAGUCCACGCCGUAAACGAUGGGUACUAGGUGUUGGGAGGAUUGACCCUCUCAGUGCCGACGCUAACGCAUUAAGUACCCCGCCUGGGGAGUACGGCCGCAAGGCUGAAACUCAAAUGA
rnacentral:rRNA from 1 species